UAUGUUGUAGUAACAAUAGUAGUAGUAGUAGUAGCAGCAAUACCUGUUUCUUCAGAUACCAUGGAUACCAUGGAAUUUUGGUUCUCAACUUAAGCUCAGCAAGGGAGAACCUGGUGGCAGUAACCGGCACCACAGAAUCGACGUCGCCACUG